CAGCCCCUUUCCCAGAGUUGACGGGAGAAGUAAAUACCUCAGUACGAGGAAAGCGUUUACAACAAAUGGUGCCUGGCACAUAAUAAGCACCCCAUAAAUGUUAGGAAAUCAGGAUGAUGACGUGGUGAUGACGAAUGUCGCUGGUUUAAAGGGAACCACCAUGUGACAGUGAGUCCGAUCUUGCCCUGUCUGCGCUGAGCCCACAGAACUGGACAGCCUGUCCGGGAGGGGAGGCAGGGCAGCCCCGGGUGUGAGGGGUCCACCUGUCCCUCCGCGUCAUGGGCGCAGCGGUGGCCUGUCCCCUGGCCCUGCGUGUGCACACUCUGCAUUCGCUUCCCGGUGUCUGCCAGGAGGGUCCUCUCUGACUCAUGCGUGUCCAGGCCUCUCAUCCUGGCCAGAGGUGUGAUGGUGUCAGCCUGGAAGCCCCCCAGGGUGGAGCCGAGUCUGGCAUCACCAAUUGCUCAGUGGAGCCUGUCUGGCCAGCCCCGAGCCCCGAGAGGGAUCAGCAGAGGCCCUGCCUGCCAGUAGCCACUAGCCUGCGCAGCCCCGCCUCCUGCCGUGUCCCCGGGCCGCUGUGCGACGCCAGAAGCUGAGAUGGCGCGUCACGCCUCCUCGGGGAUGACGCACACCUUGCUGCUACUUGACACACUCAUCGAAUCCCGGCACAGCAGCCCGGCUUUUAUCUCCCUUCGCGGAAGAAGAAGCUGAUGCAAGAUGUGAAGUGAUUUGCACGGGUCACCAAAACCGUGAGCCAGCUCAAACAUGGCCCCUACCUCAUGGUGCGAUGUGGUUGCCGGUUGCCGGAGCUCCAGCCACGAUAUCAGCAUUGCAGCCAGCUAGAAAGAGGAAGUAGUGAAGAGGAGCAUACUCCCCCCCCCAUCCGGCUUUGAAAAGUCACAUUCAGGCAACUUGCCAGGAGCUUUCAGAAGAAGAGAUGGAGCCACUGGAAUUUGUAUCCUGCCUUGGUCCUUCCUAGCUGGGUGCCUUCGUCUGCCUGAAUGGUCCCUCAGUUGUCAAGUGGGGAAGAUGAUUAUUUUCCAAGCCCCCGGCUUUCAGAAUGAAAUCAUAAACUCUUCUCGCAAGGGCCUUAUGGACUCCUCCAGCCUCGAUCUGCACACCUCUUCCCGCUGAGGGCUCUGCUUGACACUCUGGGCUGUCCCCUCUUUCUCCUUCUAUCAUCACUCCUGCCCCAGGGCCUUUGCAUUUGCUAUCCUCCCAACUCAGAGUGCUCUUCAUUUCCAAUUCCUCUUGGCCUAGUUAACUCCCCCUCAUCCUGCAGAUAGAUCUCAGCUAGUCUUCACUUCCAGAGACUAGGCUGAGCCCCUCUGUUACUCCCUCCUCCAGCCCAGGUGCUUCUGCUGGGGAAGCUGCUUAGUCUCACUGGGCCUUGACUUCCUCAUCUUCAAGAUAGAGACAACGAGAACUCCACACCUUCCAGGACUGUGUUCAAAUAUCUGAGGUUCUCAGAAUGGUGCCUGGCACAUAACAGGUGCCCAAGACGUGUAGUCGGGUCAUUGUGUUACUCGCCACUAGACCCCGGCACGGGCGCCCCCAACAUAGUCAGGACUGGAGAAGUAAUGGCCGAGGGAAGGACAGGUGGAGGUCCUUGGGAAGCUCAGCCUGCUCUGUGACGUAACUCUUCCCUCUUUCCUAGGGCUCUCUCUUGCCUCCCUCAUCAGAUCUGGUUUAUUCAAAGGGUGAGAUCUACCUUAUGUCCUCAACAUCUUUUUCUGUCUUCGUGUCCUGUCCCACUGCCCCUCUGUCUACCCCCAUCCUGUCCAGCUGGCCCCAAGAUAACCUCUCUUUCCUGUCAUUCGAGCCUGGGCCCCUCUCCUGGGCCCCAGCUCGGCAAUGAGCCCGCAGCCUACCUCGCUGCCUGGCAGGAGCCAGGAUUGGAUUAAGCUGAUUGGGUUAUGGAGCCCAGAUUCCGCUGGCGGUCCCAAAUGAGAUCAGCAGUGAGCCAGCUCCCUGCCCUUCCCACCCACCAAUUCGGCUUGCUCCUGGCAACUGAGGGGAGGAGGUGUCUUACUCCUCUUUUAUUUCAUUGUUUUAGCCAAAGUCAUAGUGGCGGGAGAUCUGGCAGCAGCUGGCAAGGCGCUCCACUGAGUUGCAAAUGCAAUUGGGGACCUGAGGGUAUGAGGCCAGGCAGAAGCAGGCAGCUGGGAUGGGGUGCUGCUCUGGCUACAGGCUUCGGGGAAAGAGGAGCGGCUGUAAAAACGAUACCCCCAUGGUUGCUGACACAGGGACAACGGACACCCCGAGUCCAUGUCGUGGACCUCAGGAUUCCCAUCCAAGGAAAGGGUUUGACCUUGUCCUUGGAGGACAAGAAGGCGGAGAGACAUGGAGCAGAGGUGGGGGUGGGGUUUGUCCCUGCUUAACUGUGGAAGAUUCUGCAACCCAGGUGUCCUGGCUUGGGAGUCUGUCCUUGACCUGCUGCUCUUGGAGUGCCUGCUCCAGGACCUUAGUCAACCUCUUUCCCCACUCUGGGCCUCGGUUUCUCCUUGCACAUGAGACACUCAAGGGUUCUCUGUGUCGUCACUUGCCUCAGGGCACUGACGUGGCUGCAGAGGGAAGCUGAGCGAGUGGCACACCUCUGGAGAUGUGGUGAAGGAACAGCUCUGCCCAGCGCCCCUCGGUGGGAGUGGUCUGCCCGGGGGCUUAAAGGCCUCCUCUUGUGGACUGGAACCAGACCUCCUCAGUCAGGAUGUCCGGUGGAAGGGGGCUCUGGGAAGUCUUUGCUCUGUACUCCAGCCUCCCUGGCUCAGCCGCUCCCCACAGGGUGGCUCCCAGGAAGCGGGGACCCUGCUCAGCGCUCCGUGCUCCAGCAGAGAGGGCUUGUGGAUGUCACUGGCCCUCCCUUGAUGCUGCUGGAGGCCUUUCCUCGCAUUUUCAGGGUGUCCGUGUCUAGAGACAGCGGCUCCUCCUCCGGCCCACCCUGCCUCAGGGGACUGUGGCACCUCAGGACGUCCUCACAGACAUUCCCCUUCAGCCCCACGGUGGCCUCUCUAGGCAAAAUUCCAGGGCAGCUGUCCCCCGGGACCGGACUCUGGGGGACGUGCUGAUCAGUGGGCAUGAAGAGACUGCAGCUAAGAGUCCUGCUCCCACUUUUCCUCCCCUCUCCUUGCACAGGACACCCUCAGAGAAGCAGGCCUUCUGGGUUCAGGACUAGCCCCGGGACAAAGCCUGAGUUUCAUGCUCUGAGCCCUGAUGGUGCGGGAGGCUGUGGCAGGACACAUCACAUACACAGGCCUGGGCUGAGGCUGCUCUGGCUGAGCCCCAGGUGGCCCGGUUGCAGGGUGGAAGAAGGAGGGCUCAGAAUAGAGAGGGAGGCAGGGCUCAGCCACCCAGAGGGCCCUCCCAGGCCUAGUCAUGGAUUUCGGACUCUAUCCUAAGACUGUGGGAAAACACUGAAGGUUUUCAGAGAAGCUGGCCAGGUGAUAUGAUAGCAUCUGUCAUUUUUAAAGGUCCUAAGAGCCGGUGGGAGGGGGACAAAGACAUAGGCUGCACAAAUCCAUGGGUGCCAUCCCAUUGUGCUCUGUGUGAAUGGCAACCCCUUAGGGUUGUGCAGUGCCCAACCUGUGUAACCAGCCAUAUACAACAGCCCUGCCUGGACUAAGGAGAUGGCAGUGGAAAUAAAGAAGAGAGGACAGAUCCAAGAAUCUCUCUCUGAGCUGUGAGGUGGGUAGAUGAGGCCCUUGGAGCCACUGGGCUCAGUUCUCCUCAGGCACAUCUCUCCACUUUGAGGAUAGGAGUGGGACCAUACCCAGUUGGAGGAAACCUCAAAGAUUUCCUUCCAGAGCAACAAGCUUCCUCCCAGGAUGAAGGAUACCAGAAAGGGACAGCAUGAGGUCUCUGACAUAGAACCCUUCUUCCUAAGGAAAGAGAGGUUCAGGGAAGGGGGCCCUGCACACAGGUGAGAAAAUCAUCACCUAACCCACUCCCCCCAUUUUAUACAUAGGAACACUGAGGCCCAGAGAGGGAAUGUGGGAGGUGGUCUGGAAAGAGUAUGAGUUUGGGAGUCAACAGAUCAGAAUUUGAGCUGGCUGUGCAAUCUCAGGCAAAUGGCUUGGCCUCUCUGAGCUUCCGCUUCCUCCUCAGUAAAAUGGGUGUGACAGUUGUCACUCUAGGUUGUUUGAUGAGUUAGCUGCUUGGUCCUUUGUAGGACUUCAUUUCGGUAUUCCAGGCUGGGUUCUGUCUCUACGGACGUGAAGAAGGACAGAGCCUCCUCCCUAACUGAGGGCCAGGGAUCUGAGGGAGGGCGCAGAGCCCCUUGGGACCAGUGUGCUGGUGGUACAGAGGCCACUGCUCUUGCAGGGGAGGGCAGCGGACCGGAAUGAUGAGGCUAAGCUGAGGGCCCAGCGCCCCCGAGGCCCCACAGAAUGUCCCUCCACCGCCACCUGCUGGGCGGCUGCCAUAGCUUUAUGAGGCAAGGCCCCGGCUUCUGGCCCCGCGCCUUGUCCACACUGGGUGGUGACCGCUGCUGAUUCAACCUCACCUUGGGCCUUCUGGACCACACAGCCCUUCCUUGCUGGCGCUCAGAGUUUGUCUGCCAAUUGUUUUCCAAUGAGGGCGGGGGAGGCUCGCAUUUCCUGAUUCUCCCAGACUCUCCUGCCUGGUCCCUGCAGCCUGUGGUGUGGAACGUAGGGCCCUCGGCCCAGGGAGAGUGGGGCGCUUGGCGUUUCAUGGGGCAGGGUGAAGUGGGGAGGACAGAUGCUGGGACAAGGAAGGAUCAGGGAGGAAGGUCAGGGACUCCCCUAACUUGGUGAGUGCUCAUAACAACAGUUGAGCCUCGGACAUUUCCAAUGCUUGUCCAGAGGGCCCGGAGUGUCGCUUACAGCCAGCUCCAAGCCCGGGGUCAAACUCCGGGUGUCGCUUUUUAGCUGGACCUUGGCCCCAUCACACGACAAAGUAGGCUGAACUGGCCAAGGACCGUGUCCUCUGGACUUUGGGCCUGCAAGCCCCCAUAGGGCCUGGUGCAUAGCAGGUGCCAGCAGACAGAGCAGGCAGGGGGCAGCCUCACAGUGGAGUGCCCAGGCCACCCCUGCCGCCGCCUG